GUGUGCCAUCACUGAGGGGAAGUGGAUGGAUUCUACAAGACGACUGAACACCCAUCCAGAGCCACUUUGCAGAAGUUGAGGACAUGGAGGACCUGCCCUCCCAACAUGAAGACAUUUCAGGGCUCAAACUUCACACCACUCUGGCGUGUUAUUCUCACAAUCAAGACCUAAAUCCUGUGUCUUGCACAAAUCAAAUGUCUGCCUUCCUGCAUGCUUGCCCCAGUCAUCCGGCUUUUCAUACCUCUCCUGUUCUGCACCUCUUUCCGAUAUGUUAACAAAGAUCCCGGUUGGAAGAAAUAAAACAUUUUCUCAAUGGGACGAUUUCUCCAGUUGUGACCCAACCUCCCGAUAAACUCCACUCUGAGUCUUCUCAUCAAAGGAGCUACAGAACCGAGCGGAGCUGCCAAGGUGAAACGGAGAGCGGACAUUAAAGAGGAAUAUCUUACAUUCCUUCACCAACCUUCAUUUUCAGUGAAUAAAGCCCAUCUGUUUAAACAAUA